GCUAAACCAUGCACCGAAGCUGCGGCAGCGACACUAUGUGUUGUUGGGUAGGGGAGCGUUCUGUAAGCCUGUGAAGGUGGCCUGUGAGGGUUGCUGGAGGUAUCAGAAGUGCGAAUGCUGACAUAAGUAACGAUAAAGCGGGUGAAAAGCCCGCUCGCCGGAAGACCAAGGGUUCCUGUCCAACGUUAAUCGGGGCAGGGUGAGUCGACCCCUAAGGCGAGGCCGAAAGGCGUAGUCGAUGGGAAACAGGUUAAUAUUCCUGUACUUGGUGUUACUGCGAAGGGGGGACGGAGAAGGCUAUGUUGGCCGGGCGACGGUUGUCCCGGUUUAAGCGUGUAGGCUGGUUUUCCAGGCAAAUCCGGAAAACCAAGGCUGAGGCGUGAUGA
rnacentral:rRNA from 1 species